GUAGGGAAUCUUCCACAAUGGACGAAAGUCUGAUGGAGCAACGCCGCGUGAGUGAAGAAGGUCUUCGGAUCGUAAAACUCUGUUGUUAGAGAAGAACGUGCAUGAUAGUAACUGAUCAUGUAAUGACGGUAUCUAACCAGAAAGCCACGGCUAACUACGUGCCAGCAGCCGCGGUAAUACGUAGGUGGCAAGCGUUGUCCGGAUUUAUUGGGCGUAAAGGGAACGCAGGCGGUUUUUUAAGUCUGAUGUGAAAGCCUUCGGCUUAACCGAAGAAUAGAAUUGGAAACUGGAAGACUUGAGUGCAGAAGAGGAGAGUGGAAUUCCAUGUGUAGCGGUGAAAUGCGUAGAUAUUAGGAAGAACACCAGUGGCGAAGGCGACUUUCUGGACGAAAACUGACGCUGAGGCGCGAAAGCCAGGGGAGCGAACGGGAUUAGAAACCCUGGUAGUCC
rnacentral:rRNA from 1 species